rnacentral:rRNA from 1 species
UACGGGGGGGGCAAGCGUUGUUCGGAAUUACUGGGCGUAAAGGGUUCGUAGGUGGCCAACUACGUCAGACGUGAAAUCCCUCAGCUUAACUGGGGAACUGCGUCUGAUACUGGUUGGCUUGAGUGCAGGAGAGGAACGCGGAAUUCCGGGUGUAGCGGUGAAAUGCGUAGAUAUCUGGAGGAACACCGGUGGCGAAGGCGGCGUUCUGGACUGCAACUGACACUGAGGAGCGAAAGCGUGGGGAGCGAACAGG